rnacentral:rRNA from 1 species
UACGUAGGGUGCAAGCGUUGUCCGGAAUUAUUGGGCGUAAAGAGCUCGUAGGCGGUUUGUCGCGUCUGCUGUGAAGACUCGGGGCUUAACCCCGGGCCUGCAGUGGGUACGGGCAGACUAGAGUGCGGUAGGGGAGACUGGAAUUCCUGGUGUAGCGGUGAAAUGCGCAGAUAUCAGGAGGAACACCGGUGGCGAAGGCGGGUCUCUGGGCCGUAACUGACGCUGAGGAGCGAAAGCGUGGGGAGCGAACAGG